CCUACGGGCGGCUGCAGUGGGGAAUAUUGGACAAUGGGGGCAACCCUGAUCCAGCCAUGCCGCGUGUGUGAAGAAGGCCCUCGGGUUGUAAAGCACUUUCAGUGAGGAAGAACGCCUGGUGGUUAAUACCCAUCAGGAAAGACAUCACUCACAGAAGAAGCACCGGCUAACUCCGUGCCAGCAGCCGCGGUAAUACGGAGGGUGCGAGCGUUAAUCGGAAUUACUGGGCGUAAAGCGCGCGUAGGUGGCUUGAUAAGCCGGUUGUGAAAGCCCCGGGCUCAACCUGGGAACGGCAUCCGGAACUGUCAAGCUAGAGUGCAGGAGAGGAAGGUAGAUUUCCCGGUGUAGCGGUGAAAUGCGUAGAGAUCGGGAGGAAUACCAGUGGCGAAGGCGGCCUUCUGGACUGACACUGACACUGAGGUGCGAAAGCGUGGGUAGCAAACAGGAUUAGAUACCCGUGUAGUC
rnacentral:rRNA from 1 species